rnacentral:rRNA from 1 species
GUGAGGAAUAUUGCACAAUGGGCGAAAGCCUGAUGCAGCAACGCCGCGUGAGUGAUGAAGGCCUUUGGGUCGUAAAACUCUGUCCUUGGGGAAGAAAAAAAUGACGGUACCCUUGGAGGAAGCCCCGGCUAACUACGUGCCAGCAGCCGCGGUAAUACGUAGGGGGCAAGCGUUAUCCGGAAUUAUUUGGCGUAAAGAGUGCGUAGGUGGUUUUGUAAGAGUAGGGUGAAAGGCAGUAGCUCAACUAUUGUUAGCCCUGCGAACUGUGAGACUUGAGUGCAGGAGAGGAAAGUGGAAUUCCUAGUGUAGCGGUGAAAUGCGUAGAUAUUAGGAGGAACACCAGUGGCGAAGGCGACUUUCUGGACUGUAACUGACACUGAGGCACGAAAGCGUGGGUAGCAAACAGGAUUAGAAACCCCAGUAGUCC